CAGGGAGGAAACCAAGCCCGCGCGGAGCUUUCUGGGAAUUGUGGUGUGGGCGCUGGGCCCGGUGUGGGGGCAGGCUUGGCCUCUGCAGCAUCUGAGGUCUGGAAGAGAGGCUCGCCCCAAGUCUGGUGGAGGUUUGAAACUUAAAAAGAUUUUGAAAGUUCUUUAGAGACUCUGAGGCUGAGAAGUGAUGGUGACAAGACUGUGAUGACCCCCAAUUGGUGGACAAGGGCAUUGGAGGCUAGGACGAGAAGCUGGCUCACACAAGGCCCUGAGGAGCAGGCAGGGUCAGACCUGGUUGGUUUGACUGAAUUGAGUGAAUGAGCAGGGUUUGCGUGAAGGUGCCCAGGCGGGCAGGAGAGCUGAGCAGAGCACUAGGGGAAUGAGAACGGUCUAUACGAUGACGGGAUUGUGCGGAGAGCAUGGACCAUUUCUGUGGCUAAGCAGGGUAGGGCUGAUCCCAAAGGUCAUCCCUGUCAGACAAGGAGCCUGAACUUGUCCUUUAGCUGGACAAGGGAAUUUGUCCUUUUGCUGGACAAGUGAACUUGUGCUUUUGCUGGACAAGUAGACUUUUUAGAGGACAAAUAGGCUAGGGUAGGUGUUGUGGGGAAAGGGAGAACCCAGCCUAGGCUCCGUGUCAGGACCCGCUCCUGCAGCAAAAGGAGGGCUCUGGGUCGUUUUGUCCUCUUUCUACAGAAACCCAAUGGAUCAGGUCAAAGGUGGAAUUUGAUGAAAUUAGGGGUGGAUGUGGCUCAUGCUUCAAAAUGCAUGUGUAUUUUGUCACUGAGCCCACAGGGACGGUGGAUAUUUUAAGAUGCACAUUCAGAUUCCUCUGCUCCAAAACCUGGACUGGCUUUCCUUGUCCUGCCAGACAGAGCUCAGACCCCUCAGCUGGACAGGCUGGCCCUUGCCAAACUACCAGCCACCUGAGCUCCCACCAACUUGUCUUACUCCCACUCCAAGUCCUUGACCUGGCUGCUCUGUGAUCCUGGAGGGCCCCCUCCCAGCAAAGUGUCCCAAAUGUGGCAACCCACAGUGAUGCCUCCUUCCACCAAACUUCUGUGGCUUUAGUGUCUUCAGACACACAGCAGAACGCUGCUGUGCUCAGUGACACAUCCUGAGUCCCCCAGGGCAUUAUAAGCACCCAAAAGCAGGGAAGGGAUGGGAAAUAACAUUCUGUAUGAUCUUCUUUAUACAUGUUGUAGCAUGUGUCAAUGCUUCAUUACUUCCCCACGAAGGAAUGAAGCAUUGACACAUGCUACAACAUGAAUGAACUUGGAGAAAGUUUGCUGAGUGAAAGAAGCUAGGGACAUUGCUGUCCCUAGAGAAAUAUUUACUAAUCAAAUUGCCAGUCUUCCCAAAGGAAAGUCGUUAUCCCUCCCACCUCAAUGGCCAACUGGUAUGGAGCAAGAGCUCCAGAAAAGGCAAGAGGAAAUGGACAAAGCCUGGGAUGUGCAAGAGGAAGCAGAAGCCAGUUAUCCAGAAAGGCUUCACGUGGCCGCCCAGGGGGUUUCCAGUACUAGAACGCCUCUUCUGACCUUGACUCAUGGAAGAUUGCAUUGGGGAGAUGUUAGGCUGAGUCUUCCAGCUGAAGGCCUAGAAUUGCUGGGGCCACAGACAGCUCUGCAGGGAUAGGAAUGCUACUGAGGGACCCACGGGACCAAUUUAGGGCACCUCCCCCAGGGGGUGGUACGUUUGGGUCUUCUUGAUGAAUCACCAAUAUUAUAGGGUUAAUUUACGUCACACUGAAACUUAAAGUAAACCUAUGCCUGUACUAAUUGUCAAGGCAUGUUUUAUUACAUGACAAUUCAA